rnacentral:rRNA from 1 species
UGUGAAACUGCGAAUGGCUCAUUAAAUCAGUUAUAGUUUACUUGAUGGUACCCAUACUCGGAUAACUGUACCAAUUGUAGAGCUAAUACGUGCACCAAGUCCCGACUUCUGGAAGGGAUGUAUUUAUUAGAUACAAAGCCAAUGCGGACUUUGGUCCGGUACAGCGGCGAGUCAUGAUAACUGCUCGAAUCGCAUGGCCCUAGUGCCGGCGAUGGUUCAUUCAAAUUUCUGCCCUAUCAACUUUCGAUGGUAGGGUAUUGGCCUACCAUGGUUACAACGGGUAACGGAGAAUUAGGGUUCGAUUCCGGAGAGGGAGCCUGAGAAACGGCUACCACAUCCAAGGAAGGCAGCAGGCGCGCAAAUUACCCAAUCCCGACUCGGGGAGGUAGUGACAAUAAAUAACAAUGCUGGGCUUUUUUGGUCUGGCAAUUGGAAUGAGAACAAUAUAAAUCCCUUAACGAGGAACAAUUGGAGGGCAAGUCUGGUGCCAGCAGCCGCGGUAAUUCCAGCUCCAAUAGCGUAUAUUAAAGUUGUUGCAGUUAAAAAGCUCGUAGUUGGGUUUCGGAGCGGUCAGGCUGGUCCGCCGAGAGGCGAGUACUGGCCGGCCACUCUUCCUCUCGGAGUCCCUGUCUGCUCUUUAUUGCAGUGGGCAGGGAAUUCGGGACGUUUACUUUGAAAAAAUUAGAGUGUUCAAAGCAGGCGAUUGCUUGAAUACAUUAGCAUGGAAUAAUGGAAUAGGACCUCGGUCCUAUUUCGUUGGUUUCCA